rnacentral:tRNA from 1 species
GCCUGCUUAGCUCAGACGGAAGAGCGUUCGGCUGUUAACCGAAAGGUCGUAGGAUCGAUGCCUACAGCAGGCG